rnacentral:rRNA from 1 species
CAAUAGCGUAUAUUAAAGUUGUUGCGGUUAAAAAGCUCGUAGUUGGAUUUCUGUUGAGGACGACCGUUCCGCCCUCUGGGUGAGUAUCUGGCUCGGCCUUGGCAUCUUCUUGGAGAACGUUGCUGCACUUGAUUGUGUGGUGCGGUAUCCAGGACUUUUUACUUUAGAGGAAAUUAGAGUGUUUCAAGCAGGCGCACGCCUUGAAUACAUUAGCAUGGAAUAAUAAGAUAGGACCUUGGUUCUAUUUUUGUUGGUUUUCUAGAGCUGAGGUAAUGAUUAAUAGGGAUAGUUGGGGGCAUUCGUAUUUAACUGUCAGAGGUGAAAUUCUUGGAUUUUUUAAAGACGAACAAUUGCGAAGGCAUCUACCCAGGAUGUUUUUGUUGAUCAAGAACGAAAGUUAGGGA